rnacentral:rRNA from 1 species
CCUACGGUGAGCUGCAGUGGGGAAUAUUGGACAAUGGGCGAAAGCCUGAUCCAGCCAUGCCGCGUGUGUGAAGAAGGCCUUCGGGUUGUAAAGCACUUUCAGUGGGGAAGAAAGCCUUGGGGCUAAUACCCUCGAGGAGGACAUCACCCACAGAAGAAGCACCGGCUAACUCCGUGCCAGCAGCCGCGGUAAUACGGAGGGUGCGAGCGUUAAUCGGAAUUACUGGGCGUAAAGCGCGCGUAGGCGGUCUGAUAAGCCGGUUGUGAAAGCCCCGGGCUCAACCUGGGAACGGCAUCCGGAACUGUCAGGCUAGAGUGCAGGAGAGGAAGGUAGAAUUCCCGGUGUAGCGGUGAAAUGCGUAGAGAUCGGGAGGAAUACCAGUGGCGAAGGCGGCCUUCUGGACUGACACUGACGCUGAGGUGCGAAAGCGUGGGUAGCAAACAGGAUUAGAUACCCUAGUAGUC